AACGGAAAAAGCUUUAUGCGCCGAAGGAUGAGCCUGCACUUGAUUAGUUUGUUGGUAGGGUAAUGGCCUACCAAGACUUUGAUCUAUAGCUGAUCUGAGAGGAUGAUCAGCCACAUUGGGACUGAGACACGGCCCAAACUCCUACGGGAGGCAGCAGUAGGGAAUAUUGCACAAUGGAGGAAACUCUGAUGCAGCGAUGCCGCGUGAGUGAAGAAGGCCUUUGGGUUGUAAAGCUCUUUCGUCGGGGAAGAAAAUGACUGUACCCGAAUAAGAAGGUCCGGCUAACUUCGUGCCAGCAGCCGCGGUAAUACGAAGGGACCUAGCGUAGUUCGGAAUUACUGGGCUUAAAGAGUUCGUAGGUGGUUAAAAAAGUUGGUGGUGAAAUCCCAGAGCUUAACUCUGGAACUGCCAUCAAAACUUUUUAGCUAGAGUAUGAUAGAGGAAAGCAGAAUUUCUAGUGUAGAGGUGAAAUUCGUAGAUAUUAGAAAGAAUACCAAUUGCGAAGGCAGCUUUCUGGAUCAUUACUGACGCUGAGGAACGAAAGCAUGGGUAGCGAAGAGGAUUAGAUACCCUCGUAGUCCAUGCCGUAAACGAUGUGUGUUAGACGUUGGAAAUUUAUUUUCAGUGUCGCAGCGAAAGCAUUAAACACACCGCCUGGGGAGUACGACCGCAAGGUUAAAACUCAAAUGAAUUUGACGGGGACCCGCACA
rnacentral:rRNA from 1 species